AUUGAACGCUGGCGGCAGGCUUAACACAUGCAAGUCGAACGGUAACGGGUUGAAAGCUUGCUUUCAAUGCUGACGAGUGGCGGACGGGUGAGUAAGGCUUGGGGAUCUGGCUUUUGGAGGGGGAUAACCAUUGGAAACGAUGGCUAAUACCGCAUAGAAUCGAGAGAUGAAAGGGGUGGGAAACCACUUGCCAAGGGAUGAACCCAAGUGAGAUUAGGUAGUUGGUGGGGUAAAGGCCUACCAAGCCGACGAUCUCUAGCUGGUCUGAGAGGAUGGCCAGCCACACUGGGACUGAGACACGGCCCAGACUCCUACGGGAGGCAGCAGUGGGGAAUAUUGCGCAAUGGGGGGAACCCUGACGCAGCCAUGCCGCGUGAGUGAAGAAGGCCUUCGGGUUGUAAAGUUCUUUCGGUGGUGAGGAAGGUUAGGAUGUUAAUAGCAUACUGAUUUGACGUUAGCCACAGAAGAAGCACCGGCUAACUCCGUGCCAGCAGCCGCGGUAAUACGGAGGGUGCGAGCGUUAAUCGGAAUAACUGGGCGUAAAGGGCACGCAGGCGGGACGUUAAGUGAGAUGUGAAAGCCCCGGGCUUAACCUGGGAACAGCAUUUCAUACUGGCGUACUAGAGUACUUUAGGGAGGGGUAGAAUUCCACGUGUAGCGGUGAAAUGCGUAGAGAUGUGGAGGAAUACCGAAGGCGAAGGCAGCCCCUUGGGAAGAUACUGACGCUCAUGUGCGAAAGCGUGNGGGAGCAAACAGG
rnacentral:rRNA from 1 species